rnacentral:sRNA from 1 species
GGCCCCGCAGCAAGAUGGCGGACGAGAAAGACAGGGAAGGGCCUGGGAUACAACAGUGAUGAGAUGAGGCCUCGGACUUUACUGAACAAACAUCUAAUGGAAGGUGGAAGAAGAGACCAUCACACAAUGAUGGUGUUAUGGGGAACACAGGAGAGAUUGGAACAAUUAUCAGGUCAUUAGGAUGCUGCCCUACAGAAGGAGAGCUGCAUGAUCUGAUUGCAGAGGUAGAGGAAGAAGAACCCACUGGAUACAUUCGAUUCGAAAAAUUUCUUCCGGUGAUGACAGAAAUACUACUAGAAAGAAAAUACAGACCAAUUCCAGAAGAUGUCCUUCUUCGAGCUUUUGAGGUUUUAGAUUCAGCUAAACGUGGGUUUCUUACUAAGGACGAGCUGAUCAAGUAUAUGACUGAAGAAGGUAAGUGUGAUUUAUUACUUAUCACAAUGACUUAUGUGAGGAAUUAAUAAUUUGUUAACAGUUAUGCGAAAGUUAUAGGGGAUACUUUAAAAUCAGUCAUUCUGGUGAAAGUUAUUUACUGUUCCUGCUAUUUUGGCUUGGGG